rnacentral:misc_RNA from 1 species
GCAAACUUGGUCAUUUAGAGGAAGUAAAAGUCGUAACAAGGUAACCGUAGGUGAACCUGCGGUUGGAUCAUUACAGGAGUACUGUACCCUAACGUUGCUCCAUGAUCUCGGAACUACAGUUUCCGGGAUACUGCCACCAUGGAGCGUAAAAAUUUGGUUAAAAUAAAUUCAAAAAUUCAUCGUUAGGUAUUUGUGCCACUCAAUGUGAACUGUCUUUGUCCCUGGUGGCGGGGUGAGGAUCGAACGGCAGGUGGUGGUUGGUAUGCCACCCACCAUCUGGCGUCCUCACCUGUCAGCUUGGAACUCGGCUGAGUUCCUUGCCGUGGACAAACCACCAACUUUUUUUAAACCUGUGUUUUGGCUUGAAUCCAUACGUCUUGCACUUUGCUUGAACACUGUGAACAACUUUUGGCAACGGAUCUCUUGGCUCUCGCAUCGAUGAAGAACGCAGC